rnacentral:tRNA from 1 species
UGUGUGUAGCUUAGUGGUAGAACACAUGCCUAGCAUGUUUGAGGCCCUGAGUUCCAUCCUCAGUACUGCAA